rnacentral:rRNA from 1 species
GAUGAACGCUGGCGGCGUGCCUAAUACAUGCAAGUCGAGCGAACGGACGAGAAGCUUGCUUCUCUGAUGUUAGCGGCGGACGGGUGAGUAACACGUGGAUAACCUACCUAUAAGACUGGGAUAACUUCGGGAAACCGGAGCUAAUACCGGAUAAUAUUUUGAACCGCAUGGUUCAAAAGUGAAAGACGGUCUUGCUGUCACUUAUAGAUGGAUCCGCGCUGCAUUAGCUAGUUGGUAAGGUAACGGCUUACCAAGGCAACGAUGCAUAGCCUACCUGAGAGGGUGAUCGGCCACACUGGAACUGAGACACGGUCCAGACUCCUACGGGAGGCAGCAGUAGGGAAUCUUCCGCAAUGGGCGAAAGCCUGACGGAGCAACGCCGCGUGAGUGAUGAAGGUCUUCGGAUCGUAAAGCUCUGUUAUUAGGGAAGAACAUAUGUGUAAGUAACUGUGCACAUCUUGACGGUACCUAAUCAGAAAGCCACGGCUAACUACGUG